rnacentral:rRNA from 1 species
GAUGAACGCUGGCGGCGGGCCUAACACAUGCAAGUCGAGCGAACGAACGGAGCUUGUUCCUCUUUUACGCUACCGACGGAUGAGUGAUGCACAGGUAUCUGACUUGCCUAUAGGGCUGGCGUAACGUCGCGGGACCUGAUCCAGCAUCGGUUAAGAUGUCGAACCGCAGGGUUCUUUAGACAAAGAUGUCUUUGCUAUGACUAGGACAGGUUCCUUCGUCGUAUUAGCUAGUUGGUACGGUAACGGCCUACCAAGGCGACGAUGCGUAGCCGACCUGAGAGGGUGAUCAGUCACACUGGAACUGAGACACGGUCCAGACUCCUACGGGAGGCAGCAGUAGGGAAUCUUCGACAAUGGGCGAAAGCCUGACCCAGCCAUGCCGCGUGUGUGAAGAAGGUCUUCGGAUUGUAAAGCACUGUUAUUAGGGAGGAAGAAAAGUAUGUGUAUAUGUGGCUGUUUUGACGGUACCUACAGAAAAAGCACCGGCUAACUACGUG